UACAGAGGGGGCAAGCGUUGUUCGGAAUUACUGGGCGUAAAGGGCGCGUAGGCGGCCUGUUAAGUCGAACGUGAAAUCCCCGGGCUCAACCCGGGAACUGCGUCCGAUACUGGCAGGCUUGAAUUCGGGAGAGGAUGUGGAAUUCCAGGUGUAGCGGAUGAAAUGCGUAGGAUAUCUGGAGGAACACCGGUGGCGAAAGGCGGCGAUCC
rnacentral:rRNA from 1 species